AUCGGAAAGGUUCUGGUGGUUGGAGGUUCUUGGACCAUUUUUUGCGCCAUCUCUGGUGAAGUCUAAGACAGCAUGCGCAGAAACCUAAUCACAAUAGAUGUCUUCACUAACUAACUGACUAGACAUUCUCUCUAGCCAACUGGGCAUUGGUUCAAGUCUAUUUUUGUCAAGACCCAACUUCGGUUUAAUUGGCUCAACGUUUCCUCACCUUGGCCCAGAUAUGUGUUUCCUUUUAUUUUAGCCAGCAAGCUAGGGACGCGAGGUUAAGGAGUUUUCUUGAAAGGUUUAAUGUCAAUCAACAAGGACCAUUCACCAUAUUAUCGUGUUGUUCGUGAUUGUGGUUCGACUCACCCUUUUCUCGCAUGUGGCCUGGUG